rnacentral:rRNA from 1 species
CCUACGGGAGGCAGCAGUGGGGAAUUUUGGACAAUGGGCGCAAGCCUGAUCCAGCAAUGCCGCGUGCAGGAUGAAGGCCUUCGGGUUGUAAACUGCUUUUGUACGGAACGAAACGGCUCCUUCUAAUACAAGGGGCUAAUGACGGUACCGUAAGAAUAAGCACCGGCUAACUACGUGCCAGCAGCCGCGGUAAUACGUAGGGUGCGAGCGUUAAUCGGAAUUACUGGGCGUAAAGCGUGCGCAGGCGGUUAUAUAAGACAGAUGUGAAAUCCCCGGGCUCAACCUGGGACCUGCAUUUGUGACUGUAUAGCUAGAGUACGGUAGAGGGGGAUGGAAUUCCGCGUGUAGCAGUGAAAUGCGUAGAUAUGCGGAGGAACACCGAUGGCGAAGGCAAUCCCCUGGACCUGUACUGACGCUCAUGCACGAAAGCGUGGGGAGCAAACAGGAUUAGAUACCCUGGUAGUCCACGCCCUAAACGAUGUCAACUGGUUGUUGGGUCUUCACUGACUCAGUAACGAAGCUAACGCGUGAAGUUGACCGCCUGGGGAGUACGGCCGCAAGGUUGAAACUCGAAAGGAUUGACGGCGNGAGAGNGACGACGACGACGACGAGGGAGGAGG